GAUGAAGAACGUAGCGAAAUGCGAUAAGUAGUGUGAAUUGCAGAAUUCAGUGAACCAUCGAAUCUUUGAACGCACAUUGCGCCCCUUGGUAUUCCAUGGGGCAUGCCUGUUCGAGCGUCAUUUGUACCUUCAAGCUCUGCUUGGUGUUGGGUGUUUGUCUCGCCUCUGCGUGUAGACUCGCCUCAAAACAAUUGGCAGCCGGCGUAUUGAUUUCGGAGCGCAGUACAUCUCGCGCUUUGCACUCAUAACGACGACGUCCAAAAGUACAUUUUUACACUCUUGACCUCGGAUCAGGUAGGGAUACCCGCUGAACUUAAGCAUAUCAAUAAGCGGAGGA
rnacentral:misc_RNA from 1 species